GACGAACGCUGGCGGCGUGCUUAACACAUGCAAGUCGAGCGGUAAGGCCCUUUCGGGGGUACACGAGCGGCGAACGGGUGAGUAACACGUGGGUGACCUGCCCUUAGCUCUGGGAUAAGCCUGGGAAACUGGGUCUAAUACCGGAUAUGACUCCAUAACGCAUGUUGUGGGGUGGAAAGCCUUGUGCGGCUAGGGAUGGGCCCGCGGCCUAUCAGCUUGUUGGUGGGUNAUGGCCACCAAGGCGACGACGGGUAGCCGCCUGAGAGGCGACCGGCCACACUGGGACUGAGACACGGCCCAGACUCCUACGGGAGGCAGCAGUGGGAAUCUUGCGCAAUGGGCGAAAGCCUGACGCAGCGACGCCGCGUGGGG
rnacentral:rRNA from 1 species